GGGCAUGCUGAGGCUUCCCAAGGUGGCCUCUACUAACUGUGACAGCUUUUCCAUCGUCCAGCCAUAUAUAUCAAUAAUACGAUCACGUUCUCACUAAGGAGGAAGGCGCUGGACCAAUGAUUUUUGCUGGAUUAUCACAUCCAUUCCUCGCAGGCGAUCAGGCAUAGGAGGUGAUUGAUUGAUUUUCAGAAAUAAGCUCUUUGCUCACACUAGAGGAUGCCCUGCCCCAGAACUGCAUCCCAGCUCCCUGGCAGUGAGAGCCUCCUGCUGAGAUUCACCCAAGUCAAAGCAGAUCUGCUGCUCUUCUGCCAACAGUCGCCUGUAUUUUAAAUGGGUGUGCCUGGUUUUUAUCUAUCUAAUGAAUUUACAAAGAGCAAUCAAGUGUCUCUGAUAUCGAAGCUUUCUGGGAAGAGAUACCAUUUCUUUGAAAGGUGCUACUGCUCCCCCUUGACCAGUGAGUGCCUAAGACAACCUUUGUGCCCUUCUCUCCUGGAGGUGAUCUCUUUUGUUAAAGCAGACAGCUGAGUUAGGAAAUGCUACCCAGUGCUCAUACGGGGCAUAAAUGCCCUGGCCAGAGGUGGGCAGGAAUGUGGGUGUCAGAGCCUGGAUUAAAAGCAGCACAGCUCAUUGUGCCCGCUGCUGAGCAGAGAGGAUCGUGCCAUUUUCCUGGAUGUCUGCUUAGCUUCUGUUUCUGACUCACAGAUAGUCAAUGCAGGUGAAGGAACUUCCUUAAAUUGUCACGUCAAGAACAAGAAGACAAGGUUUCCUCCUUUCUGUUCUUCCCACAUCAGGGACUGUAGCUACCACGAGGGCAAAUAUCCUUCAGGACACAUUUUUCCCAGUCUUCAAGUCUACCACUGCCAUGAAGGACUGGGCAGCACCACUGCUCAGCCCGAAUCUGAAUGUUGUCCUUCAUGAGCUGCUGUGUUUCUAUACAUUGAUGCCCUUGGAGAUGUUUUUAAAUAAAAUUAUGAGCGUGGUCCAACAUCUGUCUUCCCAUGAGACUAAUGAGUUCUGGACUAGCUUUAUCUUAAAUUUCAGUAUGAAAGGUAUUUUCUGUUUCAGAUGGUUUCAGCAUUCGAUUAAAGGCUGAUUAAACAUUAACAUAAAAGAUGUUGACAUUUUAAAAAAUGCCAUUGUAAUUGUGUCAAUUUACAUUCUAAAUUAAUACAAUUAUCUAAACGAGCAAACCGUACCAUAAAACUGUUAGCUGCUGCUGCUACUAACCAGCAGCUGCAAUCUGACCCAUUAAUCAAUUACCUAGAUAAAGUUAAAACAGUCUCAAGUUUCAAUUACACAUAAAGAAAGUUUCAUUUCAAAAAAUCAAUUUAUAUGCAAGUCAAAGUUGCACUGCAGGCAUGAAAGAGUAUAAUAUUUUGGAUAAUCGGCUUUAGGAAAAAAUACAAAUUACAAAAAUAUCUCCAAAAGAAAGUAUCUUUAAUUGCAUAUAAAGUAGUUUAUGAUUAUUUCCUGUAAUUAAAGCUGUGAUUUGCUGGGACUAAGCCUUUUUUGCAGAUGAGUAAGGUAUUUUUGAUUCGCACAGUCCUCACUAAACCAGAAAAGCAGAGCGUUUGCUGUAUUUAAAUGCACGGUCAUAGACUUGGCUUUUCAUGUAUUAUUUAAAUUCAACCCAAAUGUAAUUACAAGCCUUUGUGUAAGAUCCGAAGGGGACGUGACAAGGCUGACUGUCUGGCCUCUUCCUCACCAUGGUACUGACCCUGAUGGAAAGCUGAGGUUUACUCGGGGCCUCGCUCUGGGACUGUGUGGUUCCUCUGGCAGGAUGGACGUGGCAACACGAGAGGGGAGGGGACUCCCCAUGCCCCUGGAGGUGAUGGUCCCAUGCAACCAGCUCUACUCACACCAUGGUAUGGCCCACGGCCGCCAGCCCCAGCUCCUGCCUUCUUCCCUGCUCCCUCGGAGCCUCAGGCAAGUCCAUGAACUGCUGGUCUUUGUUCCUGCAUUUUUUAUAAGAGGAUUAGAGGCCUCCCGUCUUCCUCCUGGGAUUCUCUCAAGUGUUUAUACAGCACUAGCAAUCCAGGCUGAGAAAAGGAGUCAUUUUGUGGGCAGGAUGCUGAUGACCCAGGCCAGGCAGGACGUAUGAUCAAGAGCAGAAGCACAUCUCACAGCAGCCACAAAGCCCUGCAUGCAACCUGGAGACGCCAAAGGGAAUGAGGCCAGGAACAGUACAGAAAGACAAACCCAGGACACCGUAACACAUGUGGGGGCAGAGAGAGAAAAGACUUAUUUACCGAAACGUAAGAUCCCAGAGGUGAGGCCAGGGAGACGGUCAGAAAUCCUCCUCCUUUACUUCCAAAAGUUUGAAUUUAUGGUGAAGUCUGUAAUAAUCCUUGAAAGCUGCCAGCUUUCCUGGAGAUUAUGUCAGCGCCUUGCUUUCAUCAACACAGAUCAGGCAGACCUGGCAGAUGCGUGGUGUCCGAAGCUGUUGCCAGAGCUUGCAUUACCUAUGUAAAUAAAAGGAUUUUGUUCCUCGUCUCUUCAGGCGUGCAGGUGGAGGGUGCUUUGGUGCCCAGCCAUGGGGUUGGCUUGCAAGGGGACAAAGCAUGGUGUGAAGAAAAACCACCAGGCUGGGGGGCACCCCCUGGUUUGUUACACAGCGGUAGGUUAUUUGCCUUGCAACCAUAUCCCAAAGCCCUUCCACAAAUAAAGGCAGCCCUUGUCUCCACGAGCUUUUCCUUCCAGGAUAGGAUACCACAUGCAGGAUGGCAAACCUGUGGGGUGGGGAAGAGACUAUCUGUGUGCACAGCUGGGAGGUUUCAGGUCACCACAUUAGCUAACCAUUACUAAUCCUCGCUGACAUUUUACCUGGCUGUGAUUGUACUGUUGAUUUGUGGUAGGUUAUCAGGGUAGAAAUGGGUCCCAAGGAGGCACAUCCAGGGAGGGAUUUAUCUGAAUAAACGAAGCCUGGAGGAAACCAUUAAUACGUAGUGGAAGAUACGUACAAUGUUCAGAGCUGACCUUGCUGGCAGAGGUGAUACAAUAUGACCUGACAACAUCAAACACAUUUUUUUUCCCCUAAUGUUUACUUGCUGCAAACUAGGGGUCAGUUUGCUAUACUCAGAUAUGAUGGUUGAAACAGACCUGAGAAGAAAGCUCACAAAAAUGAAACAAUUACCGAUCUUGAUUUCUGGCCCAUUUUUUUUGGUUAUGGACUUGUCAGGGUUUAGAGCAACCUAGAAGACAAAUGACAUGAUAUCCAAGGGACAAUCUCUUGACUGUACAUACCGGGAUAUUUCAUGUUCCAGCUGCACUGUUUGACACAGAGAUUAGAAAAUAGUGUCGUGUUGGCUACUACCCUGAUAGAUCUUUCACAGUGGGGAAAUUCCCACCAUGGAUAAU